rnacentral:rRNA from 1 species
ACGUGGUAUCCUGUCUGAAUAUGGGGGGACCAUCCUCCAAGGCUAAAUACUCCUGACUGACCGAUAGUGAACCAGUACCGUGAGGGAAAGGCGAAAAGAACCCCGGCGAGGGGAGUGAAAAAGAACCUGAAACCGUGUACGUACAAGCAGUGGGAGCCCCACCACUAAGCCAGUGGUGAACUCCACAUCCGCAUCCUUUGCUGAGGAUACGGUUAACGGAGCGAAAGCGACGUUCAACCGCAAAACAAGCAGAGGGGGCUUAGUGGUGGGGUGACUGCGUACCUUUUGUAUAAUGGGUCAGCGACUUAUAUUCUGUAGCAAGGUUAACCGAAUAGGGGAGCCGGAGGGAAACCGAGUCUUAAUUGGGCGUUAAGUUGCAGGGUAUAGACCCGAAACCCGGUGAUCUAGCCAUGGGCAGGUUGAAGGUUGGGUAACACUAACUGGAGGACCGAACCGACUAAUGUUGAAAAAUUAGCGGAUGACCUGUGGCUGGGGGUGAAAGGCCAAUCAAACCGGGAGAUAGCUGGUUCUCCCCGAAAGCUAUUUAGGUAGCGCCUCGUGAAUUCAUCUCCGGGGGUAGAGCACUGUUUCGGCUAGGGGGCCAUCCCGGCUUACCAACCCGAUGCAAACUGCGAAUACCGGAGAAUGUUAUCACGGGAGACACACGGCGGGUGCUAACGUCCGUCGUGAAGAGGGAAACAACCCAGACCGCCAGCUAAGGUCCCAAAGUCAUGGUUAAGUGGGAAACGAUGUGGGAAGGCCCAGACAGCCAGGAUGUUGGCUUAGAAGCAGCCAUCAUUUAAAGAAAGCGUAAUAGCUCACUGGUCGAGUCGGCCUGCGCGGAAGAUGUAACGGGGCUAAACCAUGCACCGAAGCUGCGGCAGCGAACGUAUCACCCAAGACAACUUUACGGAGUUGACGAUUGACGGAGCGAAGCGACGUCAAAGCGUUCAUUAAAGUCGAGUUGGCUUAGGGAUACGUUCGUUGGGUAGGGGAGCGUUCUGUAAGCCUGUGAAGGUGUGUCGUGAGGCAUGCUGGAGGUAUCAGAAGUGCGAAUGCUGACAUAAGUAACGAUAAAGCGGGUGAAAAGCCCGCUCGCCGGAAGACCAAGGGUUCCUGUCCAACGUUAAUCGGGGCAGGGUGAGUCGACCCCUAAGGCGAGGCCGAAAGGCGUAGUCGAUGGGAAACGGGUUAAUAUUCCCGUACUUGGUGUUACUGCGAAGGGGGGACGGAGAAGGCUAUGUUGGCCGGGCGACGGUUGUCCCGGUUUAAGCGUGUAGGUGUGUGUUCCAGGUAAAUCCGGUU